AGGUGAUUAAAUUGUAGGUAUUUGGUGAGGCUAUCAGAUGUCAGGGAUAGUUGGUUUUUUUUUUUUCAGCGCCCGAAGCCCCGCCGUCAUAAUGCAAUGCCGUUGACCAUGGAAACGUACUUUGGAAAGACCUCGUCGCUUAUUGAGCGCCCUUUUACGUACCGGCAUGCUCAAUCCAGUGAAAUAUCUAUUACUAGUGAAUUAUUACUUAUACAUGGAAAUAUUUCUAUUUUAUUUUAUUCCUAUUCACUUCUAUACAGACACACUCCACUCAAAUUUUCUUAACAUUUCAUUUGUUCCGCUGACAGAGGAUCUAAGAAAAAAUGGGACAUUUGAGACCAUAUCGCAUCUUCAAAUAUUUCCUAUUAAGCAGACCCAUGUUUCUCAUGGAAGAAGAAAUGUUUACUUUUCACUUUCCUAAUUCUCUGGAAGUUAUUUAUACAUAUCUUCAUGUAGUUAAGAUUGCAAGGAAUUGAAGAACUCUUGACAUUGUCUCUAUGUAAGCUCACUGGAACAAAUACCAUCUACAAACUACAAGCAUUACUUAGACAUUGACGACUGGGUUACAUUUAGGACAGUCUUUAUAAACAUUUAUUACCACAUGAACAGUCAAUUAAUUUGAGGCACACUCAACGUUCAGCAUAAUUUUGUGCAAAAUAAAAAAGUCUUAAAUAUCAAACAAUCAAUUGAACUCUAGAUUCUAGAUGUAUGCGCAUGUUUCUAUUAAAAUCAUGAAUUUUUA